rnacentral:rRNA from 1 species
GAUGAACGCUGGCGGCGUGCCUAAUACAUGCAAGUCGAGCGAACUGAUUAGAAGCUUGCUUCUAUGACGUUAGCGGCGGACGGGUGAGUAACACGUGGGCAACCUGCCUGUAAGACUGGGAUAACUUCGGGAAACCGAAGCUAAUACCGGAUAGGAUCUUCUCCUUCAUGGGAGAUGAUUGAAAGAUGGUUUCGGCUAUCACUUACAGAUGGGCCCGCGGUGCAUUAGCUAGUUGGUGAGGUAACGGCUCACCAAGGCAACGAUGCAUAGCCGACCUGAGAGGGUGAUCGGCCACACUGGGGCUGAGACACGGCCCAGACUCCUACGGGGGGCAGCAGUCUAGAGGCUUCGGCAAUGGGGGCAACCCUGACCGAGCGACGCCGCGUGUGGGAUCGAAGGCGUUUUCGUUGUAAACCACUGUUCUAGGGGAAGAACGCCUGAAUGGUGAAUUCGGGAGCGACGGUACCUUAGAAGCAAGCCCCGGCUAACUCUGUGCCAGCAGCCGCGGUAAGAC